CCUACGGGAGGCAGCAGUAGGGAAUAUUGGGCAAUGGGCGCGAGCCUGACCCAGCCAUGCCGCGUGCCGGAUGAAGGCCUUCUGGGUUGUAAACGGCUUUUCUCAGGGAAGAAAAAGGUGAUGCGUCACAAACUGACGGUACCUGAGGAAUAAGCACCGGCUAACUCCGUGCCAGCAGCCGCGGUAAUACGGAGGGUGCAAGCGUUGUCCGGAUUUAUUGGGUUUAAAGGGUGCGUAGGUGGCCCGUUAAGUCCGGGGUGAAAGCCCACAGCUCAACUGUGGAACUGCCCUGGAUACUGGCGGGCUUGAGUCCAGACGAGGUUGGCGGAAUGGAAGAUGUAGCGGUGAAAUGCAUAGAUAUCUUCCAGAACCCCGAUUGCGUAGGCAGCUGACUAGGCUGGUACUGACACUGAGGCACGAAAGCGUGGGGAGCGAACAGGAUUAGAUACCCUGGUAGUCCACGCCGUAAACGAUGGAUACUCGCUGGUGGCGAUAGACAGUCACUGGCUUAGCGAAAGCGGUAAGUAUCCCACCUGGGGAGUACGCUCGCAAGAGUGAAACUCAAAUGAAUUGACGG
rnacentral:rRNA from 1 species